UUAGGGUUGAGAGGCGUCUGGUUGGAUUUCAACUAGCUGGUUGGAGAGCUUCAGGGGUAAAAUGGGAGAGCUGUUGGUUCUUCGAUGUCUACAUCUGGAGGCUUUUACUGUUUUACACAGCCAUAGUUCACCGACUUCAGUUUUGGCUUCCAUUCUUCACCGACUUCCUUGCCUUCUUCUCUUUCGAUUCGAAGAUCAAUUUCCAUCUAAACUCAUCUCCGUUUGCUGCUCGCCUGGCCUUGGCCUCUGAUCAGGUGAUUUUAUCAUUAAGAUGCCAAUGUUGACUGCUCCAAGUACAAUUGUUAGCUCGCCUCUAUUGCCAACAGAUUUUGAAAUGAGGUGCUCACUUUCUGACUCACUUGGGUUCUAUCAGGAAGGGGAUUGAAUCUCACAGAUUAGCUCAGCUGCACCCAGAAAACUAUCUGAGAAGAUAAUCUGCAGAGCAGGGGACUUGCAAUCUACUGAGAAAAGGUUGGGAGCUGCUUUUGGAGCCUCAUUUAUUUGGCCUGCGAGCUUGAUUUACUUCUCCAGGUCAAGAUCUCCAUCAAAGAGAAGAAAAGUCAUGAAGAAAUUGCAAAACAAAACCUGCCCAAUUAAACAGCAUGCUACUCAAAACUAUCCAAAUUUUGCUAUUUUGAUAACUGCUUCCCACUAUUAACAUCUCAAUGUAUAUCAAACAUGCCUACUAUUUUAACAUAACAACACAAGCAGCCUGUAAAAUAUGUUAUUACUUUCUUUUUUAGCAACUUAUACUUCCUUAGUUAAGCAUAAUGCUACAAAUUAAAUCUCAUUGUAUAUAUAAACAAUCUUAUUUUGUCUACGUAAUUUCAAAACCCGCAGCAUCGUGCGGGCUUUUUUUCUA